rnacentral:lncRNA from 1 species
UAGUCGAGCCGAAGGAGCUCUCACAAAUAGAAUUUGAGUACCAUGGAGAAAAGCUAGCUGGAUAAACAAGACAGGGAUCACCCACUUGGCAAUGCUACCUUGGGGAGGCUUUAAUAGAACAAGAGAAACUCAUAUUCUAAAGCGUUUUCGAUAUAUGAACAAGAUUGCUAUGGAAGAGUUGGUGAACAUUGUUCUGACUCGUAGCUCUAAGAUGACUAGCAUGAAUAAGUCAGCUUCAAAUC